GUUACGCUUAAGUGGUAAAGGAGGUAGGAUUACGAAGACAACCAGGAUGUUGGCUCAGAAGCAGCCACACAUUCAAAGAGUGCGUAAUAGCUCACUGGUCGAGUGAUCCCGCGCCGAAAAUUAGCGGGGCUAAAGCGUACACCGAAGCUGCGGAUAGCAUACUUAGGUAUGCUGUGGUAGAGGAGCAUUCCUUAUGGGUAGAAGGUAAGCUGAAAGGCGAGCUGGACUGUAAGGAAGAGAGAAUGCCGGCAUAAGUAACGAGAGUAGAGUGAGAAACUCUGCCGUCGAAAGUCUAAGGUUUCCUGGGUAAAGAUCAUCUUCCCAGGGUAAGUCGGGACCUAAGCCGAGGCCGAAAGGCGUAGGCGAUGGACAACCGGUAAAGAUUCCGGUACCACCCGAAGCCGUCAUAAAGGAAGCGGGGACGCAUAAAGAGGCCGCAUGCGGGCUGUUGGUAUAGCCCGUCCAAGCAGCGAACCAUCCUUAAGGUAAAGCACCUUAAGGUAAGGCAAGCUGUGAUGGGGAGCAAUAGCGAAGAUACGGUCUAACGUGCCAAGAAAAGCCGCUACAAGGCCAGGGUGCCCGUACCGCAAACCGACACAGGUAGACGAGGAGAGAAUCCAAAGACGGACGGGAGAAAUUCUGUUAAGGAACUCGGCAAAUUAACCCCGUAACUUAGGAAGAAGGGGAGCCACCAAAAGGUGGCCGCAGAGAAAUGGCCCGAGCGACUGUUUACCAAAAACACAGGUCUCUGCCAAGUCGAAAGACGAAGUAUAGGGGCUGACGCCUGCCCGGUGCUGGAAGGUUAAGGGGAGAAGUGAUAAGCUUUGAACCGAAGCCCCAGUAAACGGCGGCCGUAACUAUAACGGUCCUAAGGUAGCGAAAUUCCUUGUCGGGUAAGUUCCGACCCGCACGAAAGGCGUAACGACUUGGGCGCUGUCUUAACAGAAAACCCGGUGAAAUUGUAGUACUCGUGAAGAUGCGAGUUACCUGCGACUGGACGGAAAGACCCCAUGGAGCUUUACUGUAGCCUGGCACUGGAUUUUGAUGCAGUCUGUACAGGAUAGGUGGGAGGCAGAGAAGUAAGGGCGCCAGUCCUUACGGAGCCAACGGUGGGAUACCACCCUAACUGCACCCAAAUUCUAACCCCGAAGUAGUAUAACCUACCGGGGGACACUGUCAGGUGGGCAGUUUGACUGGGGCGGUCGCCUCCUAAAGAGUAACGGAGGCGU
rnacentral:rRNA from 1 species